AGAAGAAAAUAUUGAAAAAAAAAACUUUAGAUUCUCUAGGGUUUAUUUAGAAGUAGUGGAUAAAAAGUAGAAAAUGAAAGAGCUUAAGAAGAAUUAAUGUCGAGAAAUAGUUUAGAUUUGUUGGCUUAAAUGGGCGGCCAUCUUGCCUCUGGCUGGAGGUUAUAUGUGGAUUGAAUUAUGUUCGAAAUGACGUGAGAUUGGGUUGGGCCAAGUCAUGUUCGAAGUGCCGUGAGGCUGGUUGGGCCGAGUCACAAUCGAUAUCCGUGGACGCUAUAUCUAUACGCUUUAAGUGAAUUGGUUGCGUAUUUCUAACAGCUCGAGGUUUUGGGAUAAUGGUUAGCGCCAACGAUCCGACAAGAUUAUCUAGGGUUUAUUUUUGAAGUUGAUAAAAAGUAGAAAAUGAAAUGAGCUCAAGAGGAAUAUAUUGAAAAUGAGUUUUGAUACUGAGACCUCCGUUUGGUUGGGGGUUAAGGGGUGGAAUAACCCCUUAACCCCCAUUUUAUUUCCAACCCAUUUUAUUUCCAAACACUUCUAAAAAUGGGUGGGGUUAGCUAACCCCACCUCAAAUGGGUUAUCCCUGGUUACCUAACCCCACCUAACCCCACCAAACCCCAACCAAACACUAUUUUCUAUUCAUAAUAACCCACUAUCCUUCUUAUCCACAUACUCCAACCAAAUAUUAUUUUUCACUAUCCCGCACUAACUCCAACCCCCAACCAAACACAAAAAUACUCUAACCCCAUCUUAACCCUAGACUUAACCCUAUCUCUGGAAUAACUAGUUUUUCCUUAACCACGAACCAAAUGGUAGGGUUUAUUCGGAAGUA
rnacentral:lncRNA from 1 species